rnacentral:lncRNA from 1 species
GGGGUUGGCCAAAUGAGAUAGAAAAGUAGAUAAGGCUACAAAUGGAUUAGGUUGAUCCGUGACUCAAUCUGACCUACUUAAACCCGAUCCAACCUAUUUUAAAAGACUCAUGGGACUGGAUCGAGUUCUAAAAUUAGACCGAUUCCAUUUUCUAAAUCAAGUCGGAUCUAGAUUUACUAAAUUCGGAUCCAACCUGCCUCAAU